GAUGAACGCUGGCGGCGUGCCUAAUACAUGCAAGUCGAGCGAACAGAUGAGGAGCUUGCUCCUCUGACGUUAGCGGCGGACGGGUGAGUAACACGUGGAUAACCUACCUAUAAGACUGGGAUAACUUCGGGAAACCGGAGCUAAUACCGGAUAAUAUAUUGAACCGCAUGGUUCAAUAGUGAAAGACGGUUUUGCUGUCACUUAUAGAUGGAUCCGCGCCGCAUUAGCUAGUUGGUAAGGUAACGGCUUACCAAGGCAACGAUGCGUAGCCGACCUGAGAGGGUGAUCGCGCACUCUGGAACUGAGCCACGGUCCAGACUCCUACGGGAGGCAGCAGUAGGGAAUCUUCGGAAAUGUGCGAAAGACUGACGGAGCAACGCCGCGUGAGUGAUGAAGGUCUUCGGAUCGUAAGACUCUGUUAUUAGGGAAGAACAAAUGUGUAAGUAACUAUGCACGUCUUGACGGUACCUAGUCAGAAAGCCACGGCUAACUACGUG
rnacentral:rRNA from 1 species